rnacentral:ncRNA from 2 species
CCGCACGCGUCGGGAGAGCGCGCCGCCUGCUGUCGUCUUGAGUACACAGCAGCCAGCGCCGCCGAAGGGGCACACCCGCAAACUCUCAGGCAAAAGGACCGAACGCGUCGAA